UACGAGGGGGGGCAAGCGUUGUUCGGAAUUAUUGGGCGUAAAGGGCUCGUAGGCGGCCAACUAAGUCGGAUGUGAAAUCCCCAGGCUUAACCUGGGAACUGCAUCCGAUACUGGAUGGCUUGAAUCCGGGAGAGGGAUGCGGAAUUCCAGGUGUAGCGGUGAAAUGCGUAGAUAUCUGGAGGAACACCGGUGGCGAAGGCGGCAUCCUGGACCGGCAUUGACGCUGAGGAGCGAAAGCCAGGGGAGCAAAACGGG
rnacentral:rRNA from 1 species